rnacentral:rRNA from 1 species
AUACGUAGGGAGCAAGCGUUAUCCGGAUUUACUGGGUGUAAAGGGCGCGCAGGCGGGCUUGCAAGUUGGGAGUGAAAUCCCGGGGCUCAACCCCGGAACUGCUUUCAAAACUGUGAGUCUUGAGUGAUGGAGAGGCAGGCGGAAUUCCCAGUGUAGCGGUGAAAUUCGUAGAUAUUGGGAGGAACACCAGUGGCGAAGGCGGCUAACUGGACUGCAACUGACGCUGAGGCGCGAAAGUGUGGGGAGCAAACAGGAUUAGAUACCCUGGUAGUCCACACUGUAAACGAUGAAUGCUAGGUGUAAGAGGUAUCGACCCCUUUUGUGCCGGAGUCAACACAAUAAGCAUUCCGCCUGGGGAGUACGGCCGCAAGGUUGAAACUCAAAGGAAUUGACGGGG